ACACACACACACACACACACAGAGACACACACACCUGAGAACGAAGCCGAGCCUCCAAGUCGCCCACCCUGUGCACGCUUGUGAUGACUCACCUGAACAGACGUACCAGAGCGGCCUGGCGGGCGCCUGCACCUGCUGCACCUCCCUGGCGGCGCUCUGGGAGCCAAUGAGAGCGUAGCCCCGGUAGGGCAUGCCUGCAGGGGGGGCUCCUGAAAGCUCAUUCAGCAGAGACAGGAAGCUGUCAUCUGCGGCGUGCUCCUGCCCCUUCUGGAGCAGGGCCUCCACGCCGGCCUCCGUGCGCCCGCAGGCCUGCAGCAGCCUGGGGACCGUCCUGGGGGGCGCGGUCGCGCCCGUCUGCCGCUCAGCCGGACGGAGGAUCACGUGAACGUUUGAGCCUCCAAAGCCAAAGGAGUUGAUGCCCACGAUGCCGCCUCGGACGGGGAGGGGCCGGUCGACGACCUGGACCCGCCCGUCGUGGAGCGCCGGGAUGUCGGGGUUGGGAGAGCUGAAGUGCAGGUUGGGCGCCCAGACGCCGCGCUCCAAAGACAGCAACACCUGAGGACGGGGAACGAGCAGUUAACUGAAGCUCGACGUGAGCCGAGUCCGGCCAAUCAGAGCAGAGCCGGCACUCGCCUUGGCCACAGCAGCCAGGCCGGAGGCCGGUUCGGGGUGGCCCAUGUUGGACUUGGUGGAGCCCAUGAGUAGAGGCUCCCGCUCCGAUUCACAGAAGACACUGACGAUGCCGUUGACUUCCUGUGGGUCGCCCACCUGCGCGCAGAGAGCAGAGGAGCCCAAAGGUCAGAGGUCAGUGACGCAGGGAGCCGCGCGGAGAGCCGGCCGAGAGCACUGACCUUGGUUCCUGUGCCGUGGGCCUCCACAUAUUCCACCUGCUCUGGAGAGAUGUUGGCCUCCUGGUACAGAGCGCGAACCAGCCUCUGCUGCAUCGCGCCUGAAGGGAACGUGACACCUGAGGGACGGAGAGCGCCGCGUCAGGACGGGGCUGCUGCUCUGCUCGCGUGGGACGCCAUGAGCCAUGAGCGCUGCACAUCGUGUACCAACGGGGAGAAGAGAAGCGGGGGACGCGUCCUCACCCUGCUCCUUGUAUCCGUCCGUGUUGUUGCCCGCGUUGACCACGGUGGCGUAGACGCGCUUGGCUGCCGCCCGCUUGGUGAGCAGCACCGCCACUGCAGCCUCCGAGCGGCAGUACCCGUCUCCUGGGGGCCACGAGGGGUGCGUCACACCACGAGGGGGGCUGAUGCGUCAAAGGACCUGCAGGUCCCCCCAGGACUGAGCAUGCCCAGCUUCAUGAACUGCACGGAGGUGUUGGGCUUGAGCAGCAGGUUGACCCCCCCCACCAGAGCGGCAUCACAGUGGCCCUGGCGAAUGGCGUGGAAGGCGUUUUCUAAAGCCAGCAGG
ensembl:lncRNA